AUGUCAGUCGCUCAGUCAAGUCUGACUGUGACCCCAUGGACCAUACCCAGUCAGGCUCUUCUGUCCACGGAAUUCUCCAGUGUAAGCACCAGCCAAGGGACGAUAUGGAGACUGAACUCAGAAGUCAGAGAUGGGCAGACAUGGGAGCAAAAGCCUGAGCUCCACACGUGCAUGUCCAUUUCCACGGACAUGGGUGAGGUGGGGGCGCUGUGUGUGCCCCCCUGGGGGGUAACACCGGCCGUGAACAGUGUCCUGGGAGGUGAGCCAUCUGCACACCAGCGCGUUCUUACGAAACCAUGACCACCUGCUAUUUUUUCCUUACUCUCAUAAAACGUCCAGGUUUGUAACCAAGUUCAGAUUUCCUUUCCACGUGUGCCAUGCGUCCUGACGUUUCAUGUGUCUUUCCUAUUUUGAGUACAGAGGAAGUCCACAGUUUAAAAAUGGAAAGGAGACUUGGCUUCUUCACCUGUGCCUACUUUUAGCAUCAAAACCAUGGCAACAUCAUACACAUAGUUCAUCAUACGUUUUCACAGCAGAUUUAUUCUGCCAGGGACGGCUCUCUGAUCUGCUUAUUUAAAACCAAUGUGAAUUUUAUAUCAAACUUGACUUAACACAUGACAAUGAAAUCCUACACUGUACUGAAAGCUGGAGAGGCCCAUGAGAGGUGAAGAUGCCCCCGACCCAGCUUCUGUGUUCAUCAAGAGCAAUAAGAGUGUACACACCGCCGUGGUCCUAAGUCAGCAAAGAGCAAGGGAUGGGCAGUGUCAGGGGCUGGAACAGAGGCCAGGAAGCAACAUGUCUUCCCACACCAGCCUCGAUGGGUGUGCAAGUAGGAACACCACGUUUCCACAUGUCUUCCAGGGUAAGCAGGGGGUCCACUUCUCCUCCCAUCAAGUGCAGCUGCUGUCACAGAAGGGGUUCACAGGGAGGCGCCCCAACAAUGAGAAAUAGCUGUUCCUGGGGUCUCUGUGAUGACACAGGAAUACAAACCAAAAGGGCAAAACUGGUUCCUCUAGGGGCAUCGGCCUGAAAAGUAGGCUUCACUGCAUGCAUGCCCACAGGCCCCCAAACAGGCACAGUUCUUUAAAACAUGCUUUGCUGCAUUGUGCUAGAAAUUAUCCCUCUAAAAGAUUAUUUCAAGCUGGAGAAGACUCUUGAGAGUCCCUUGGACUCCAAGGAGAUCAAGCCAAUCCAUCCUAAAGAAAACCCUGAAUUUUCUUUGGAAGGACUGACGCUGAAGCUGAAGGUCCAAUCCUUUGGCCGCCUGAUGUGAAGAACUGACUCACUGGAAAGGACCCUGAUGCUGGAAAAGA
rnacentral:lncRNA from 1 species